rnacentral:tRNA from 1 species
GCACCGAUGUCCGAGUGGUUAAGGAGAUUGACUAGAAAUCAAUUGGGCUCUGCCCGCGUAGGUUCGAAUCCUGGCUCGGUGCG